rnacentral:rRNA from 1 species
UGGAGUGCCUUUAUCGAGGGGGAAACACCCGUUCCCAUUCCGAAUACGGCCGUUAAGCCCCUCUGAGCCGAUGGUAGUGUGUUCGUAAGGACAUGUGAGAGUAGGUCGGUGCUCCUU